AUUGAACGCUGGCGGCAGGCCUAACACAUGCAAGUCGAGCGGAUGAAGGGAGCUUGCUCCUGGAUUCAGCGGCGGACGGGUGAGUAAUGCCUAGGAAUCUGCCUGGUAGUGGGGGAUAACGUCCGGAAACGGGCGCUACCGCAUACGUCCUGAGGGAGAAAGUGGGGGAUCUUCGGACCUCACGCUAUCAGAUGAGCCUAGGUCGGAUUAGCUAGUUGGUGGGGUAAAGGCCUACCAAGGCGACGAUCCGUAACUGGUCUGAGAGGAUGAUCAGUCACACUGGAACUGAGACACGGUCCAGACUCCUACGGGAGGCAGCAGUGGGGAAUAUUGGACAAUGGGCGAAAGCCUGAUCCAGCCAUGCCGCGUGUGUGAAGAAGGUCUUCGGAUUGUAAAGCACUUUAAGUUGGGAGGAAGGGCAGUAAGUUAAUACCUUGCUGUUUUGACGUUACCAACAGAAUAAGCACCGGCUAACUUCGUG
rnacentral:rRNA from 1 species